AUUUAACUAACUAUAAAUAGGACAAUUACAAAAAAUAAACUUACAGGAACGGUAGGUUAAGGAGAACCCUGCUCCAACAAGCUUUACAGUCUACGUAUCUAUAUCAGGGGACUAAAUCUCCCACAAUGCUCUUACAGCCAUAAUGCUGGCAAAGCAUCAUGGGAUGUGUAGUCCAAAACAUCUGCAGUGCCGAAGGAUGCCUAUCCCUGAU